rnacentral:sRNA from 1 species
GGACAAUCUGGAUGUUACAUGCCUCUCCAUUUAAUCACCAGAGUUGAUUCAGUUGAAUUGGCUGUCUAGACAGGUGUCUUCUCCCACCCUCCCACCUGUGUGUGCCUGGUGGAGAAGGUCAUGUUCCCAGUAGAGGAGGGCUGUUAUUUGGUCAAGCAUGAGUAGCUGCACUGCCUGCUUGGAGCUCCAAAUAUGGGCUAAGAUGAUUCUAUGCUUU